rnacentral:rRNA from 1 species
CGCAAAUUACCCAAUCCUAACACGGGGAGGUAGUGACAAUAAAUAACAAUACCGGGCGCAUUAGUGUCUGGUAAUUGGAAUGAGUACAAUCUAAAUCCCUUAACGAGGAUCCAUUGGAGGGAAAGUCUGGUGCCAGCAGCCGCGGUAAU